GGGUGAGUAAUGCCUGGGAAUAUGCCUUGAUGUGGGGGAUAACCAUUGGAAACGAUGGCUAAUACCGCAUAAUGCCUACGGGCCAAAGAGGGGGAUCUUCGGACCUCUCGCGUCAAGAUUAGCCCAGGUGGGAUUAGCUAGUUGGUGAGGUAAUGGCUCACCAAGGCGACGAUCCCUAGCUGGUCUGAGAGGAUGAUCAGCCACACUGGAACUGAGACACGGUCCAGACUCCUACGGGAGGCAGCAGUGGGGAAUAUUGCACAAUGGGCGCAAGCCUGAUGCAGCCAUGCCGCGUGUGUGAAGAAGGCCUUCGGGUUGUAAAGCACUUUCAGUCGUGAGGAAGGUAGUUGCGUUAAUAGCGUAAUUAUUUGACGUUAGCGACAGAAGAAGCACCGGCUAACUCCGUGCCAGCAGCCGCGGUAAUACGGAGGGUGCGAGCGUUAAUCGGAAUUACUGGGCGUAAAGCGCAUGCAGGUGGUUUGUUAAGUCAGAUGUGAAAGCCCGGGGCUCAACCUCGGAAUUGCAUUUGAAACUGGCAGACUAGAGUACUGUAGAGGGGGGUAGAAUUUCAGGUGUAGCGGUGAAAUGAGUAGAGAUCUGAAGGAAUACCGGUGGCGAAGGCGGCCCCCUGGACAGAUACUGACACUCAGAUGCGAAAGCGUGGGGAGCAAACAGGAUUAGAUACCCUGGUAGUCCACGCCGUAAACGAAGUGUACUUGGAGGUUGUGGCCAUGAGCCGUGGCUUUCGGAAAUAACGCGUUAAGUAGACCGCCUGGGGAGUACGGUCGCAAGAUUAAAACUCAAAUGAAUUGACGGGGGCCCGCACCAGCGGUGGAGCAUGUGGUUUAAUUCGAUGCAACGCGAAGAACCUUACCUACUCUUGACAUCCAGAGAAGCCAGCGGAGACGCAGGUGUGCCUUCGGGAACUCUGAGACAGGUGCUGCAUGGCUGUCGUCAGCUUGUGUUGUGAAAUGUUGGGUUAAGUCCCGCAACGAGCGCAACCCUUAUCCUUGUUUGCCAGCGAGUAAUGUCGGGAACUCCAGGGAGACCGCCGGUGAUAAACCGGAGGAAGGUGGGGACGACGUCAAGUCAUCAUGGCCCUUACGAGUAGGGCUACACACGUGCUACAAUGGCGCAUACAGAGGGCUGCCAACCAGCGAUGGUGAGCGAAUCCCAAAAAAUGCGUCGUAGUCCGGAUUGGAGUCUGCAACUAGACUCCAUGAAGUCGGAAUCGGCCAUAAUC
rnacentral:rRNA from 1 species